UACGUAGGGUGCAAGCGUUGUCCGGAAUUAUUGGGCGUAAAGAGCUCGUAGGCGGUUUGUCGCGUCUGCUGUGAAAACUCGGGGCUUAACUCCGGGCCUGCAGUGGGUACGGGCAGACUAGAGUGCGGUAGGGGAGACUGGAAUUCCUGGUGUAGCGGUGAAAUGCGUAGAUAUCAGGAGGAACACCGGCGGUGUAGACGGCUUUCUGGACCGUAGCUGACGCUGAGACACGAAAGCGUGGGGAUCAAACAGG
rnacentral:rRNA from 1 species